AAAAUCAAAGUAGGUUAAGUUAGGCUAUAGUUAAACUGGACUUUUAUUUUUUUAAUAGGGAAUUAUUUUUUGGUAAAAUCUUCACGUCGAUGGCAUUUACCUUUGAGAGAGAGUGGGCAGCCCGAGGCAACAGUAGCAGCAGCAGCAGCAGCAGGCAGUGUGGCUGUACCAGAAUGACUACGUGACUGAAUGGAUGGGAUGAAGGGAACAUCGAGCAGCAGCAGCAGCAGCAGCAGUGUGGCUCGAAAACCUUCCUGCCGCGCUUCAGGUUAAUCGAGAUCUGGAAAUCCCAUCCUUCAGGCGGAGCGGCAAGGAGGGAUGCCCAUCUCCGCGGCACGACUAUCGGGCGAGGCUCUGAGCGGAGGCCUGCACACUGACAGCGGGCCAGGAACACCGAUCUGUUCUCCCUUUCACUAUGUUAAAGAUAGGCGCUUAAAUAAGAUCGAGUGUAAAUGUGGUUGCUUUAGUUGUUUCUUGUUUAUAGGAUUGCUUCUCUAUGUCUCCUAUAACAAAUAAGUCAAGGUUAGGGGAAAUCUUUUAUAGUUAACGUAUGUGGUUUUUACUUGAAUUAUCCCUAUUCAUCCACCUAUCUAUCGAUCUGCUCACAUCCUGACCAACUCUUUACAGAUAUGCAAAGGACAGGGAGUAGCAAGCAAAGGCCCGCCACUCCAGCCAUGCAAGUGCAGGGGUUAGGGGGGAUACAGUGCUUAGUAAAGGGCGGUAUCUCUUCCCGUUAUGUGCUGCGCCGCCCACGCCCUUCUCCCGCAUUCCUCCCCCACCUCGUUCAUGUGUCUCGGUGGGAGGGGCGGAGGGGAGCCUUCUCACUUCCUACCCCUCCAUUAUACUGUUGGUGAAGAUCUCCGGGAUGUUGUCGUUUACUAAAGGGGUGGCAGGAACAGGACCCCGCCUCCCUCGCAGCAUCGCCCUCACUCUAUCCACUGUAUUUAUGGGCGCACUUAACCUUCCCAGCCACUCUGGUCGUCUGCCUCGCCGCUGCACUCCACUGUCCCAUCCCGCUCCGGUUCACUUUUCAUCCUUCACGCCCUGGAGCAGCAGAUGACCUUCGGUUUCACUGCCCCGGAUGAAAUGUUAUUAUAAUUACACGGGAUGAAAAUGCUGGAGGGUGGCACAGAAUGGAAAAUUAAUUACGACAGGGCAAUCAGACCUUGUUACUGCCGCGGACUAAAAAAGAAUGAAUAUACCCGAAAUACUAAUCUUAUAAUUUAGAUUCUAAUUAAGACUAAUUUUGGCAUUCGUAAUAGGAAUGUAUCGUGUCGUCCCUUGGAGAUGGAGACAAAAAUCACUGUGUAUUUUUUUAUGAUUGUUUUGUUCCAUAUACAAGUAAAUAUUUCUGAUAACAUUGUACGUUAUCAUACUAUGUAUUUUUUUUAUAGUUUUUUGAUAUAUCAUUAAAUAUUUUUGAUAGCU